AUCGCAACGCCUAAAGGAUCCUCAUUAAGGUGGGUGGAAUAGUAUAACAAUAUGCUAUAUGUUGUUAUAGUAUCCCACCUACCCUGAUGUGUCUUUAAGACUCUCUGACGGU
rnacentral:miRNA from 1 species